rnacentral:rRNA from 1 species
AAGGAUCAUUAAAGAGUGAGGGUCCUCUGUCGGCCCAACCUCCCAACCCUCUGUGUACCUACCUCUGUUGCUUCGGCGGGAUGCUGAGGUGUUAACCCACCUUGGCCGCUGGCUCUCAGCCGGCGCGCGCCCGCCAGAGGCCCUACCAAACUCUGUUUAUCAGUGUCGUCUGAGUUAAUACACAAAUCGUUAAAACUUUCAACAACGGAUCUCUUGGUUCUGGCAUCGAUGAAGAACGCAGCGAAAUGCGAUAAGUAAUGUGAAUUGCAGAAUUCAGUGAAUCAUCGAAUCUUUGAACGCACAUUGCGCCCCUUGGCAUUCCGAGGGGCAUGCCUGUUCGAGCGUCAUUUCACCACUCAAGCUCUGCUUGGUAUUGGGCCCUCGUCCGACCGGACGUGCCUGAAAACCAGUGGCGGGACCGCCCGACUUCAAGCGCAGUAAUUUCUUCUCGCUUUGGAAGGACGGGUCGAGUCGCCAGCCAGAUAAACCCCUUUAUCUUUUUAUGGUUGACCUCGGAUCAGGUAGGGAUACCCGCUGAACUUAA